CACAUGACUCUCGGCAACGGAUAUCUCGGCUCUCGCAUCGAUGAAGAACGUAGCAAAAUGCGAUACCUGGUGUGAAUUGCAGAAUCCCGUGAACCAUCGAGUUUUUGAACGCAAGUUGCGCCCGAGGCCUUUUGGCCGAGGGCACGUCUGCCUGGGCGUCACGC
rnacentral:rRNA from 5 species